GUCCAAUUUUCUCAAUUUGUUCAUUGGUGGCGAACCAAAACACAUCCCAAAAGAAAAUCAAGAAAGCUCGAGAAACGGGUGAUCAUGGAGGGGCCCCAAGAUCUUCACUCGUGUUUCCGAAGAUGAGGUCAAGGUUUGCUCUGAUGAAAAUCCCGGCAAAGGGGGUCUCGCCGCCGUUUUUCUCGUUUGCUUAAAGCCUUAGUUUUUUCGGGGCAUCACUGGCCAAGAAGGUUAGAAUCAAGAAAGCAGGGAAAAGCUUGAACCCAUCGUUAAGAAGCAAGAGCCUGUCUGGAAAACCAAUGGAACUUUGGAUUCAGCGAAAGUAAAACCUGUGAAAGAACAAUCUCCGGUCUUUAGAUCAAAGAGUUCUUCUUUUGGUAGCCCAGCCACUUUGACGACGCCGUUCUGUUCCUCAUCCGCUUCGUCCAUCAGUUCCAAUUCCAGAUCCUCGUCGGACCGGAAAGUGCCGUUCCGAGCGAGCCCAGUAGAAUCAAAACAGGUGGGUAAGAUUACAGAGACCAAGAAAGUAAAAGAACGUUACAGUUCGAAUGUGGGGUUGUGCUUUCUCCUUGUUUUGUUGUUGGUUUUGAUCGUUUGGGGGAAGGUUUGCGCGAUAGUCUGCACCUCAUCGAUACUGUUUCUGGUUCCCAGUUGGAGGGGGGUUUACUCGCCGGAGGCCGUUGUUGACCCGGCGGAGAUAGACUCGGUGGAGUACAAGAAACGGGUGAUCAUGGGGGGCCAGCUCGAGAGAAAUCGCAAUCGAGUCAACCCCUCUCUCUUAAGUAUUUGUCACAUUUCUUGUUCUUAUUUUUUCCAAAAAGGGACCAAAAUUUUCGCCUUUUAGGCUCUUGUGAUUUGUGUGUACAGCCAAUAAUCCACAAAAUUACAUGUUCUGAGUAAAUACGUAAAAAAAAAUUAUGAGUAAAUUUGCCCCCAAAGACUUUUCUGAAAAACUACUUAAUUUGCCAGUGAUACCCUUUCUUUCAUAUGGAGAGUUAUUGUGUGCCCCAACAAUUACUUCCAAUGGUUGUGGGUCAUAUUUUUACAAGUUUUAAGGGUAAAAAGUUGAGGAAUUAUGUAAUACGGUUCUUAGUAUUGACUCUUCCAAACAUCUGAUGUCACCAGCACCUUAACUUCAUCUUUUUCUUUUCACUAGGGAAAAAAAAAAUCUUUCAUAAUUGUGUUCAUACCUAUUGUAUUCGUGCUUUAUGUUCAAUAGUAUAUUUGUACAGUAUUAUAUGUAUUUGAUUAUAAUAAAAGAUGACUGUAAACAUAAAUGAUUAGAAUUCAAAUUUUUCUAGAGGCAAAUGUACAUAAAAUUUUCAUAUCAUUACUUAAAAUACAGUGACUUUAUGGCUCUUGUAUACAUAAAAAGCUGUUCAUACAUUUACAAAUCACGGCAGCUUUAAAGGGAAAAUUUUGCUGAUUCCCUUGGCAAAAUACAAGAACUGAAAAAUGUGAAGGGUACUACUACACAGGUGUUGACUUGUCGCUACUCUCUCUCUAACCUUGUUGGUCCAACACGAGGUCGUUUUAGUAAACUGUUCAAUUCCAAUGGUCAAAGGUUAGAGAGUAGGCUGCUACUCGAUUGCGACUUCUCUCGAGCAGCCCCUCCAUGAUCACCCGUUUCUUGUACUCCUCCGAGUCCAUCUCCGCGGGUCAACGAUGGCCUCUGGUGAGUAAACCCCCCUCCGGCUAGGAACCAGAAAUAGCAUCGAUGAGGUGCAGACUAUCGCGCAAACCUUCCCCCAAACGAUCAAAACCAACAACAAAACAAGGAGAAAGCACAACCCCACAUUCGAACUGUAACGUUCUUCCACUUUCUUGGUCGGUGUAAUCUUAUCAACCUGUUUUGAUUCUACUUGGCUCACUUGGAACGAGACUUUCCGGUCCGACGAGGAUCUGGAAUUGGAACCAAUGGACGAAGCGGAUGAGGAAGAGAACGGCGUCGUCGAAGUGGCUGGGCUACCAAAAGAAGAACUCUUUGAUCUAAAGACCGUAGAUUGUUCUUUCACAGGUUUUACUUUCGCUGAAUCCAAAGUUCCAUUGAUUUUUCCAGACACGCUUAUGCUUCUUAACGAUGGGUCCUUGUUUUUCCGUGCUUUCUUGAUUCUAACCUUCUUGGCCUGUCGAUUGAAACGAAACAGCACGACCCAUAAUUCAUUAAUAAUCUAAUUGAAAACCGACAAGAUUUGUACAAAAAUGGUAGAAAUAACAAUUACCAGUGAUGCCCCGAAAAGGAUGGCUUUAAGCAAACGAGUAAAACGGCGGCCAGACCUCCCUUUGCCGGGAUUUUGAUCAGAGCAAACCUUGACCUCAUCUUCAGAAAUACGAGUGAAGAUCUUGGGGGGCGCCAUGCUGUCGUCUUCAAACAAGUACGAGAAUAAGGCCGGAUCGCCGGAACUGCCGUCGUCGACACAACGGUCACGGCGUGGCUUAACUGAACCGUCGUCGACGGCGACAGGCCGGAAACAGAGAAAGGUCUUGAAUCGCCUUGUCUUCUUCGCAUGCGAAUGCAUCGUAGAGAAGCUAAAUAUGUAGGUUACGUAGGAAGAGAGAUUUGGAGGUUGGUUAGACACUUGUGGUCGCGAAAAUUGAGGAAAAGGAAAGGGGGUUCGUGGGAAAAUGGACGACAGGAGAAAACAAACGGUCGUGCGGUGGCGCCGUGGCGGUUGGUGGCGUCGCGUCGGAAUCGAAGGGGCGGCUGGGUUCGCGCUCCUCCGUCUGCCUUAAACUGAAUUUAUAAUAAAUAUUUUUAUUUGUUAGUUUAUAGCAAAGACGUCAAACAAGAUUAGAUAUUCCUAACUAUACAUAUAGCCCAUAGGGAAAUUAAAAUUUGUAAGAUUUCACGCGGAUUAAUGUGGAAUAGACUUUAUUGUUGCUGAA